UGGGGGAUCGUCUAACGGCAGGACGGCGGAUUCUGGCUCCGCUAAUCUAGGUUCGAAUCCUAGUCCCCCAGCCA
rnacentral:tRNA from 1 species